rnacentral:rRNA from 1 species
ACCGGCAGCUAGCUCUCUACAACACUCACAUGGUCGCUUACUGAAGCUAAACAGAGCUGUUCCUGGUCAGUACCUGGAUAAGAGAUCACAUGGGAAAACUAGAUUGCUGCCGAAA